rnacentral:rRNA from 1 species
UACAGAGGUCCCAAGCGUUGUUCGGAUUCACUGGGCGUAAAGGGUGCGUAGGCGGUCGGGUAAGUCUGCCGUGAAAUCUUCAAGCUUAACUUGGAAACUGCGUCGGAUACUAUUCGGCUGGAGGAAUGGAGGGGAGACUGGAAUACUUGGUGUAGCAGUGAAAUGCGUAGAUAUCUGGAGGAACACCGGUGGCGAAGGCGGCAUCCUGGACCGGUAUUGACGCUGAGGCGCGAAAGCCAGGGGAGCAAACGGG